rnacentral:rRNA from 1 species
UGCUCAACAGCUAGCCCACCCCCCCCCCAAAGAUCAAAUAUAAAUACAAGCAAAUAACUUGAAUGCCAAAACCAAACCAUUUUUCCCCUCUAGUAUGGGCGACAGAAAAAG